rnacentral:rRNA from 1 species
UACGGUAGGUGGCAAGCGUUGUUCCGGAAUUAUUUGGGCGGUAAAGCGCGCGCAGGGCGGUCCUUUAAGUCUGAUGUGAAAGCCCCACGGCGUCAACCGUGGAGGGUCAUUGGAAACUGGGGGACUUGAGUGCAGAAGAGGAAAGCGGGAAUUCCACGUGUAGCGGUGAAAUGACGUAGAGAUGUGGAGGAACACCAGUGGCGAAGGCGGCUUUCUGGUCUGUAAACUGACACUGAGGCGCGAAGCGUGGGGAGCGAACAGGA